rnacentral:lncRNA from 1 species
CCAUUUUUACUUUGCUCACUUGAGCCAUAUAUUGCGAUUGUAUAUACUUAUUUGUGGAUCUUGUUUGUGUUUGUGGUCUUAGGACCUUAAAAUACCUAAUAAACAACAAAAAACCCUAAAAGAAUAUUUGUGUGGACUAUUGGAUUUGAUCUGAGCUUUGGACUUAGAAUUAGACAACAUUCCCUAUGCAAAAGGACUUGGCCAAUGCCAACAUUUCUGAAACCAAGUUAUUG